ensembl:lncRNA
CUUAUUGAAAAAAGGUUCAGAUUUAUUUAAUUAUUCAUUUAUGAAUGAAUGAAUGAAUGAAUGAAUGAAUGAAUGGAUGAAUGAAUGAAGGAAUGAAAGUAAUACUUUUAUUCGGCAAGGCCAUUGAAAUUAAUUCCAAAGUUAAAGUAAAGACAUUUAUAAUGUUAGAAAACUAUUUUAUUUCAAAUAAAUUAUUUCAUUUUAAACUUUCUAAGCAAUAAACAGUUCUGAAUAAAAGAAUCAUGAUUUCCACAAAAAUAAUAAGCAGAUUCAGCCCUGAUAAUAAUAAUUAUCAUUGAUAAUAAUCUGGUAAUAAUUCUUAUUAUUUGAGCAUAUUGAUCAUGUGACACUAAAGACUGGAGCAAUGGCUGCUGAAAAUUUUUUUCUUUGCCAUCACAGGAAAAAAAAAGUCAUUUUAAAAUAUAUAAUAUUAGAAUAUGGUUAUUUUAAAUUCAUAAUAUUUCAUAUAAUAAAUCAAUGAUAUUUCAUAAAAUAACUAUUUGUAUUGUAUUUUUAAUCAAAUAAAUGCAGCUUUAGUGAGCAUAAGAGACUUAUACAAAAACAUAAAAAACUUACCAACCACAAACUUUUAAUCACUUUUAAUUUCUCUUUUAGUCUGCAAAUUCACUUUAGGGAUGAAUAUUUCUUAUUUUUGAUGUAAAUUUAAAGUCAGAGAUUUUAAUGUGGACUUUUAGAUCCCACUUUAUUCUGCAAAAUAUGACAUGCAUGGAGGUGGUCAGACUACAUGACUCAAAUGUAUCACAGAUAAUAUAAAAUCUGUGUACUUUAUCAACAGAGAAAUCAGCUUUGUAAAACCAAAUACCCUUCUUUUUGUAAACAGCCCACUAAUAUGUAAUAUAAAUGCAACUGCGACAAAGUGUAGGACAAGAGAAAAUGUCUGCAAUCUUUCCAAGCCCACUCACUCAUUCCACUAAAAACUGCUCAUCAGGAAACUGCUUGAUAAAAUCAAUACAACACCAAUAUGUUCCCUACUAAAUGCCUUUCAAUUAAGAUCAAGGGCGCUCAUGUGUUAAUGGGCAGUUUAUGUGUUAGUGUACUGGCACAACAUCAAGGCAGCUUCAUACAGCGGCUCAGUAGGAUUAAGUAAUGCAGUGCUAUGUGUAGUCUAUGUAUAGAGGAAGUUCCUCUCCCUUUCUAAACAACUAGAAAUGUGUAACUGAAUAGCACACAGACUGAAGCUGCUCUUCUGGGUGUGAGGGUUGUGAAUGUGGGCCAGAAUCGAGGUCAGCGCGGGGUGAUUCCGUGUCAGACAGGUAUGGCACUCGUGACUGGGUGGGUCACAUAUCCCAGCCAAAGAAUCUCAUUUUUAACUGUGUCUUUGAGUACAUAUGCUGUAUUUGCAGUAUUGAGCAUUUGCAGUACACAUCUGCAGUCUCCGACCCUGCUUUGUGUGUGUGUGUGUAAGGCAAACAGCCAGGAUCCCUUGAAGGAGAUAAGCCUGUGUAUACCGGAUGUAGUGGCGAAUAGAUAUGAUUAUGAAUGGAUAUGAAGUACGCAACCUCUCUACAAUACGACUAACCUCCCAUGAUACUCCAUGCAUCCGACCAUAAUUCAUCAACCAUUCACUACUGUACAUGACAAGAUUGUCGUCUAUGACUGUGGGCAGCUUAAGGAAUGUAAACAAAGGUUGUCUAGUGUUUUGUAGGUUACAUAUUGCACGUAGUGCAUUAAUUAUAAGAGGUUAAUGUAAAGUAAUGCAACACAUCCUUCAUUCGAACUAUGAAUGUCCAAAUGUUUUGUGACUGUGCAUGUAAAAGAUAAAUUUUGCCAAUUAUUGAAGGAGAAAUGUCUGCCAAGUAUUGAAGGAGAAAAUUGAGAAAAAUAAGGGAUUUGAUGCACUGAUAAUUCUGUAAUAAACAUAAAUAUCAUUAAG